UACGUAGGUGGCGAGCGUUGUCCGGAUUUACUGGGCGUAAAGGGCGUGCAGGCGGUUUGUUAAGUGCAGGGUGAAAGCUCCCGGCUCAACUGGGAGAGGUCCUUGCAUACUGGCGAACUCGAGGGAGGCAGAGGAAAGUGGAAUUCCCGGUGUAGUGGUGAUAUGCGUAGAGAUGGGGGAGAACACUCGUGGCGAAGGCGGCCAGCUAGACCAGUUCUGACACUGAGGCGCGACAGCGUGGGGAGCAAACAGG
rnacentral:rRNA from 1 species